rnacentral:ribozyme from 1 species
UGUCCAGUAACUCCUAUCCCUACCUCCCCGUGGUGACACCUGGGAAGGAGGGCUUCUUUCUUCUGAGGGUGUAGC